GACGAACGCUGGCGGCGUGCUUAACACAUGCAAGUCGAACGGAAACACCCUGCUUUUUUCGGUUUCUCUGGUGGCGAACGGAUGAGUAACACGUGAGUAACCUGCCCUUGACUUUGGGGUAACUUCAGGAAACUGGGGCUAAUACCGGAUCGUAGCUCCUCCUGCACGGAGGGGGGGGGAAAGUUUCGGCGGGUGGGGAUGGACGCGCGGCUUAUCAGCUCGUUGGUGGGGGAGUGGGUUACCAAGGCUGUGACGGGUCGCCGGCCUGGGAGGGGGACCGGGCACAUUGGGACUGAGAGACGGCCCAGUGGCGUACGGGAGGCAGUAGGGGGGAACAUUAUGCAACGGGGGGAAGCCUAAUGCAGAAACGCCGGGUGCGGGAUGUAGGUCCUGGGGGUGGAAAGCGAGUACGCUUGUGACCAAGCGUGAUUGACGGUAAUGGGUAAAGAAGCACCGGCUAACUACGUG
rnacentral:rRNA from 1 species